UACAGAGGUCCCGAGCGUUGUUCGGAUUUACUGGGCGUAAAGGGUGCGUAGGAGGUUGAGAAAGUAAGGUGUGAAAUCCCACUGCUUAACAGUGGAACUGCGCCUUAUACUCCUUGACUAGAGAACCGGAGGGGAGAUCGGAAUUCCUGGUGUAGCGGUGAAAUGCGUAGAUAUCAGGAGGAACGCCAAUGGCGAAGGCAGAUCUCUGGAAGGUUUCUGACUCUGAGGCACGAAGGCUAGGGUAGCAAACGGG
rnacentral:rRNA from 1 species